UACGUAGGGGGCAAGCGUUGUCCGGAUUUAUUGGGCGUAAAGAGCGUGUAGGCGGCCUGACAAGUCUGCUGUGAAAACUCGAGGCUCAACCUCGAGAUGUCGGCGGAAACUGUCUGGCUAGAGUCCGGAAGAGGAGAGUGGAAUUCCUGGUGUAGCGGUGAAAUGCGCAGAUAUCAGGAGGAACACCAAUGGCGAAGGCAGCACUCUGGGACGUGACUGACGCUGAGACGCGAAAGCGUGGGGGAGCAAACAGG
rnacentral:rRNA from 1 species